GCCUUAGUAACUGCGAGUGAAGCGGCAAAAGCUCAAAUUUGAAAUCUGGCGUCUUCGGCGUCCGAGUUGUAAUUUGGAGAGACAUCUUCGGGGUAGGCGCUGUCCUAAGUUCCUUGGAACAGGACGUCACAGAGGGUGAGAAUCCCGUGUCUGGAUGGCUGCCCUACUCCAUGUGAAGUGUCUUCGACGAGUCGAGUUGUUUGGGAAUGCAGCUCAAAAUGGGAGGUAAAUUUCUUCUAAAGCUAAAUAUUGGCGAGAGACCGAUAGCGCACAAGUAGAGUGAUCGAAAGAUGAAAAGCACUUUGAAAAGAGAGUUAAAAAGUACGUGAAAUUGUUGAAAGGGAAGCGCUUGAGACCAGACUCGGUCAGUGGUGAUCAGCGGUGCUUCUGUACCGUGCACUUGCCAUUGACUGGGCCAGCAUCGGUUCGGACGGCGGGAUAAAGGCCUUAGGAAUGUGGCUCUCUUCGGGGAGUGUUAUAGCCUAGGGUGCAAUGCCGCCAGUCUGGACCGAGGACCGCGCUUCGGCUAGGAUGCUGGCGUAAUGGUCUUCAGCGACCCGUCUUGAAACACGGACCAAGGAGUCUAACAUCUAUGCGAGUGUUCGGGUGGAAAACCCUUGCGCGUAAUGAAAGUGAACGGAGGUGAGAACACUUCGGUGUGCAUCAUCGACCGAUCCUGAUGUCUUCGGAUGGAUUUGAGUAUGAGCAUAGCUGUUGGGACCCGAAAGAUGGUGAACUAUGCCUGAAUAGGGUGAAGCCAGAGGAAACUCUGGUGGAGGCUCGCAGCGGUUCUGACGUGCAAAUCGAUCGUCAAAUUUGGGUAUAGGGGCGAAAGACUAAUCGAACCAUCUAGUAGCUGGUUCCUGCC
rnacentral:rRNA from 1 species